AGACAUAAAGGUGUCUGAUAAAAUUGGAACUACACACAGAAGAAUACCUAGCCCCUGUGCAACGAAAACAAGCACAAAUCAAGAAAUGGUCCAAAUAUUU